UGUUGUGCCACGUGGGUGGAGAACCCUGGAGGGGCCCGUGCCGGUCAACCGCGCAGACGUCACGCAUUGGGAGAGGUGUGCGAAGGGGUAUAUCUGCCUAGAGAUGUGAUGGGGAGAUCAGCACCUUGGAGAGAGAUCCCUCUACCUGCGGUCCAGGACCCCGGCCAGCGCACCCCUGACGCGGCCGAAGAGGAGAGGAGGGAGGAAGCCCUGGAAAAUACCCCGGUCUGGGAAGAAUCUUCGUUUAUUUUUUGCCUAAACGGCCCCUUUGAUUUCUCCAGUUUUCCCCUACCCUUGCCCUGAGGGGGGGCGCUAUCACCAAUACCCCGAAAAAAAAAAACACAGAAAAAAUAAAAAGAAGUAUUUUUUCUGA